rnacentral:tRNA from 1 species
GUGCAUGUUGCACUGUAGUGGUUUGAGUGUUGGACUAUAACUCUGAGACCAGGGUUCGAAUCCCAGCUUGGUCA